UUUUUUUUUUUUGUCUUUUUGUCUUUUUAGGGCCCCACAUGCAGCAUAUGGAGGUUCCCAGGCUAGGGAUCGAAUCAAAGCUAGAGCUGCCGGCCUACACCAGAGCCACAGCAACACGGGAUCCGAGCCGCAUCUGCGACCUACACCACAGCUCACAGCAAUGCCAGAUCCUUAACCCCCCGAGGGAGGCCAGGGAUUGAACCCAAAACCUCAUGGUUCCUAGUCGGAUUCAUUUCUGCUGCACCACAAUGGGAACUCCUGACUUCUUGACAGGAAGCUUUUCUACACCAAGAAAUAAGGACCCUGAGGAUGUCACCAUGAAUGACACUCAGGGAAAUCUGAAUCAAACAAACAACAGUGGUGAUAAAGGGUAUGUAGAAGGUGGAAAAGCACAGGCUUUGCACUCAGACAGAUAUGGUCAACACGUUUACACUCACUUUCUAGCUGAGUGACCUUGGACAAGUUAUUCAACCUCUCAGAGCUUCAGUUUCUUCAUCUGUCAAAUGGGAUAAUAAAAGAGGCUUGUUGUCACCGCGAAAUGAGAAAUUACAUAAAUUAUGAAGCUCUGGCUGGUACACAAGAUGUGUCCUGUCACUCGUCAGUGAUGUUAUCAUCACCAUCACCAUAAUUUUUUUUUUUUUUUUUAAUGGCCGAAGGUGUGGCAUAUGGAAUUUCCCAGGCUAGUGGUCGAAUUGGACCUGCAGCUGCUGGCCUAUGCCACAGGCACAGCAACAGCACCGCGGGAUCCAAGCUGCAUCUUCGACCUACACCACAGUGUCUGGCAAUGCCGGAUCCUUAACCCACUGAGCGGGGCGAGAGAUCGGACCUUCAUCCUCAUAGAUAGGAGUCAGGUUCCUUUCCACUGAGCCUCAACGGGAACUCCAUCAUCGCCAUCAUUAUUGACAGUCCUUGCCUGCAAGGAGCCCACACCACAGUCUGCUAGGGAGGAAUGAUAGGUUUCAGAGCUCUAAUUAGAGAACAAGGUGUCUACAACUAGAUGGAUGGUACAGAUGAGUAUUCAGAGAAGGAGGAGACAGGACCAGCUCCAAGGAGCAGGUGGAGCACAGCCAUGAGGAGACGGUGGAAGCAGCAGUGUGGUGGGAGACGGGAGGGCUUGGUGCAGGGACAGCAGGCAGACCCUGGGUGGGGGACACUCUAUGAGAGGAACUCAGGGGCUGCAGACUUUGGCACCAAAGGUUAGAGGCGGUGACAGUGGACAGAAAGUGAACAGUUCACAGAAUGCAGACACGCAGAAGCCAAUCCUACCCUAAAUGGGUGUGGAGAACCUGGGCAAGUUUGGUCAGAUCCUGAACAGUGUGGGGUAUUAGUUACACUAAGGCAGGAUCGAGCACUCCCUUGGCUAAAUAUAAAUAGUUCCUGCCCUUCACACGCCAACACCGAGAUGUUGAAACUCCAGAGAGACGCAACAUGUCAUCUCAUGGUUAUGGUCCGCAUCAGACUAACACCUGGCCCUAUAACCAACCUGAGAACAGCAACUUGGUUUCUCCCUCUGUAAAGGAAGACUAGUCUCAGCACAUCCUGCCUCCCACGUCACAGGAUGGCACGUGGAGACCGCGUGAGAUCAUGGGUCCCAAGUUGAGAACAAUAGCCAUCUGAAUGAGCUUUUGUGGAGCUAGCUGGGUGCUAGCAUCAGGUGAAGGCGUAAACCCUCUCAGAGCUCCUGCCUCUUCUUGCCUCAGAGGACUUCUCUGCAGAUCACAUGAGAAAACACAUGGUAAGAAGAAAGCAUAACAUGCCAAAUAUAACUAACUCCGGAUGAAACCAAACAACCGCCAAGAUGCACUUCUGCUGCAUUUUUAUUUUUAAUAACUUUUUAUGUAGAAAGAGGAGAAAAUUUAAUUCUAAAAUUUAAGAGAGGAGUUCCCAUUAUGGCCCAGUGGAAAUGAAUCUGACUUGUACCCAUGAAGAUAUAGGUUCAAUCCCUGCCCUCACUCAGUUGGUUAAGGACCCGGCAUUGCCGUGAGCUGUGGUGUAGAUCGCAAAUGUAGCUUGGACCUAGUGUUGCUGUGGCUGUAGCAUAGGCCAGCAGCUGUAGCUCCAAUUCAACCCCUAGCCUGGGAACUCCAUAUGCCAUGGGUACAGCCCUAAAAAAAAGUAAAAUUAAGAGAGAAUUUUUUUUUUUGGCCAUGUCCAUGGCAUGCAGAAGUUCCCAAGCCACAGCAUUAACCCAAGCCUCAGCUUUCACAACGCCAGAUCCUUAAACUGCUGAACCACCAGGGAACUCCUGAGAGAAAACUUAAAUCAUUUGUUUCCUCACCAUUCAAAAAUAUAAGUAGGAGUUACCAUUGUGGCUCAGCAGUAAUGAAUCCAACUUGUAUCCGUGAGAAUGCAGGUUCGAACCCUGGCCUUGCUCAGUGAGUCAGGGACCCAGCGUUGCCGUGAGCUGUGGUGUAGGUAGCAGAUGCAGCUGAGAUCCCAUGUUGCUGUGGCUGUGGCAUAGGCCUGAGGCUACAGCUCCAAUUCAACCCCUAGCCUGGGAAUUUCCAUAUGCCAUGAAUACUGCCCUAAAAAGACAAAAGAAAUAAAAAGAAAUAUGUGUAUAAGUUAUAUACUUUAUUGGCAAAAAUAGAAAGUAUAAAUACUGUUUUACACCCUGCUCCUUUCACUGACCAAAUAACUUUUCUGUUAAUUAUGCAGUCUUUCUACAAUAAGGUUUUAUUUUUUCCUCACGCCCACAGUAUGCGGAAGUUUCCAGGCCAGAAUACACACACACACACACACACACACAUAGGAGUUCCCAUCAUGGCUCAGUGGUUAACGAACACAGCUAGGAUCCACAAGGAUGCAGGUUCAAUCCCUGGCCUUGCUGAGUGGGUUAAGGAUCCGGCAUGGCCAUGAGCUGUGGUGUAGAUCACAGACACGUCUCAGAUCGAGCAUUGCUGUGGCUUGGUAUAGGUCGGUGGCUACAGCUCCAAUUCACCCUCCAGCCUGGGAACUUCCAUAUGCCACAGGUGCGGCCCUAAAAGGACAACAACAACAAAAGAGGAAGAAGAAGACAAUAGGCAGAUGAUGGGAAUAAGACUUGGUCCAUAAGAAGUCAAGCUAGAAUCAAAUUCAGGUCUGAGUACAAAGGCUGGGUUCUUCGUGGUGGAAGCGCACAGAGAAAAUAUAGUGUCUAAGCUAGCAGAGGAUGAGGCUGAUGAUGAAAAAAAUUUACAGUUUCUAAAUUUUUUUUUUAAAUUUUAGUUUUCAUUUUUUGUUGGCCACUCUCAUGGCAUGCAAAAGUUCCCAGGCCAGGGAUUGAAACUGCACCACAGCUGCAACCCAAGCUGCAGUGACAAAGCCAGAUCCUUAACCACUAGGCUACCAAGGAACUCCUUUGUGCACUUUUUAGACUCAAAAUGUUUAUGUAUGUUUCCCCAUGGUUGAACAAAGCGUGGAGCUCUCAUGGACCAAUGAAUGCAGACAUGUCCAGACAGCACAUAAAAGCCACCUUGUUCACUUACAAGUGUUGACAAUGACAGGAGUGGGCAAUGACUAUUUAUGAGAAGUAUGUGGAUUUCCCAGUGCUUAUUUAUACUUUAUGAAUUUGAAAUUAUGUUUAGACCUGCUACAACCCUCACCCAUCACCUAUUUCAAACUUACUAAAGAACAUUAAUUCUAAAAACUGGACACAUUUCUGAGUCUUCACUCAACUAAAGAAUAUGAUAAGUUUUCAAGGGUUUUUUGUUUGUUUUGGGUUUUUUUUUUUUUUUUCCUCUUUUUAGGGCCGAACCUGGCAUAUGGACGUUCCUACGCUAGGGGUCGAAUCUGAGCUAUGGCUGCUGGCCUAUGCCAAAGCCACAGCAAUGGGGGAUUUGAACCGUGUCUAUGGCCUACACUACAGCUCAUGGCAACACCCAAUCCUUAACCCACUGAGCAUGGCCAGGAAUCAUUCUCAUGGAUACUAGCUGGGUUCAUUAUCACUGAGCCACAAUGGGAACUCCAGUUUUUAAGUUUUUUUUAAACUUAAAUAUGUAACAAUUUUAAGUCAUGGAAAAAUACCAAAUUAUGUUUAAUAACUCUGAAAAUAUAUUAGAGAGAUACUAAUAAAAUGUUGGAGGGACAGGAGAAACUUCAAGGGAAGAUGAUUAAGAACAAUGAAGAAGGAGUUCCUGUCGUGGCGCAGUGGUUAAUGAAUCCGACUAGGAACCAUGAGGUUGCGGGUUUGGCCCCUGCCCUUGCUCAGUGGGUUAAGGAUCCGGGGUCGCCGUGAGCUGUGGUGUAGGUCACAGACACGGCUGGGAUCCUGCGUUGCGUGGCUGUGGCGUAGGCCGGCGGCUACAGCUCUGAUUUGAUCCCUAGCCUGGGAAUCUCCAUAUGCCACGGGAGCGGCCCAAGAAAUGGCAAAAAGACAAAACAACAACAACAACAACAACAACAACGAAGAGGAGUUCCUGUCGUGGCACAGCGGAAACGAAUCCGACUAGGAACCAUGAGGCUUCGGGUUCGAUCCCUGGCCUUGCUCAGUGGGUUAAGGAUCCAGCGUUUCCGUGAGCUAUGGUGUAGGUCACAGACAUGGCUUGGACCUGGUGUUGCUGUGGCUGUAGUGUAGGCUGGCGGCUACAGCUCCGAUUCGACCCUUAGCCUAGGAACCUCCAUAUGCCAUGGGAGCAGCCAGAAAAGACUAACAAAAAGAGAGAGAGAAAGGGAAGGACUAAUCAGAUAGAACCAUGAUGCUGGACUAGUCGCUAAGCUAUACCUGAAGUGAACGAGCAUAAACGUAGGAACUAUGGAAUUAUCACUGGGCACCACAUGACGAGGUACUGGGGACAAUACUUAGACAUACUGAAUACGCAAACUCCUGCCAAGCUGGAAAGGCUUCCCUCCACACACUCAGUGUUUGCCACCCUUACUCUAUUUAGAGAGUUGUAUACAGAAGAACCUAGAGAGAAGACAUAGGAAAAUUCAAUGCAAAGAUAGCUUUUAUGUUGAUGGUACCAAAGUUAAAUUACUGAUACCAAUUCCCCUGGAAACAAUCCAUCUUUAUUUUUCUAAGAUACAUCCAGAUGGACAACUUGGUCUCAACAUAAACUGGAAUCCAUCCAUUCAGUCAACAAAAAUUUAUUGGGUAGUGACUGUGUAUCAGGCAUUGUUUCAGGCAAUGAGAAUACUGAAGUGGGAGAAGGGAAGACAGUCCCUGCUUUUAGGGAGUUAUGUUCUGGUAAGAGGAAGACAUCCGGAUAAACUCUAUAUUCGCUGGUGAUAAGUGCCGAAGAGAAAAAUGUCAGUAGCCAUAUAUAGGGAUGUCCUGGAGGAAUGGGAGGUUGCCAUCUUAAACACAGCCAUCAGAGAAGGUCUUCUCAAAAAAAGGCGACUUCUGGAGUUCCCGUCGUGGCGCAGUGGUUAAUGAAUGCAACUAGGAACCAUGAGGUUUCCGGUUCAAUCCCUGGCCUUGCUCAGGGGGUUAAGGAUCUGGCGUUGCCGUGAGCUGUGGUGUAGGUAGUAGAGGCGGCUUGGAUCCCACUUUGCUGUGGCUGUGGUGUAGGUCCAAUUAGACCCCUAGCCUGGGAAUCUCCAUAUGCCAAGGGAAGUGGCCCUAGAAAAAGGCCAAAAAAAAAAAAAAAAAAAAAAAAAAAAAGCGACUUUAGGCUUAAAAACCGUGAAGGGAGGGAGGCAGCCAUGCAGAAUUAUGUGAGGGAAAAACAUUCCCUUUAGCAGGCUCGGAGGCCCUGAAGAGGGAGCAGACCAGAUACAGCAAGAGGACCAGUGCAGCUGAAACAGGGAGCAAGGGAACGUGGUAGGAGUUGAGGACAGAGUGAUAGUGGGUGGAGGGACAGAUUAUGCAGCGCUGUGGAGGCUGGUCUAAAACCUCUGUUUUGGGAGCUCCCAUUGUGGCACAGCGGAAAUGAACAUGACUCGUGUCCAUGAGGGUGUAGGUUCGAUCCCUGGCCUCCCUCAGCGGGUCAAGGAUUCGGUGUUUCUGUGAGCUGUGGUAUAGGUCACAGAUGUGGCUGAGAACCCACGUUGCUGUAGCUAUGGCACAGGCCAGCAGCUGCAGCUCUGAUUCCACUCCUAGCCCGGGAAUCUCCAUAUGCCGCAGGUGCGGCCCUAAAAAGCAAAAAUAAAAAUAAAAAUAGAAGCUCUGUUUUGGGAGUUCCCAUUGCAGGUCAGAAGCUUAAGGACCUAACUAGUAUCCAUAAGGAUGCAGGUUUGAUCCCUGGCCUCUCUCAGGAGGUUAACAAUCCUGCAUUGCCAAGAGACCCCUAGCCUGGGAACUUCCAUAUGAUGCAGGUAUGCCCCCCCCCCAAAAAAAAACCCCUCUGUUUUGGAGCUCAUCUGGUGGCUCAGCGGCUUAAGGAUCCAGCAUUGUCACUGCUGUGGCUUGGGCUGGCCCAGGAACAUUCACAUGCUAUGGGUGCAGCCAAAAAAAAAAAAAAAAAAAAAAAAAAAAA
rnacentral:lncRNA from 1 species